rnacentral:rRNA from 1 species
AUUGAACGCUGGCGGCAUGCCUAACACAUGCAAGUCGAACGGAGGGCUUCGGCCCUCAGUGGCGGACGGGUGAGUAACGCGUAGGGAUCUGCCCCGCAGUGGGGGACAACCUGGGGAAACUCAGGCUAAUACCGCAUACGCUCCAUGGAGGAAAGCGGGGGACCUUCGGGCCUCGCGCUGCGGGAUGAACCUACGUCCGAUUAGCUAGUUGGUGGGGUAAGGGCCCACCAAGGCGACGAUCGGUAGCUGGUCUGAGAGGACGGCCAGCCACACUGGGACUGAGACACGGCCCAGACUCCUACGGGAGGCAGCAGUGGGGAAUAUUGGACAAUGGGCGCAAGCCUGAUCCAGCAAUGCCGCGUGGGUGAAGACGGCCUGCGGGUUGUAA